AGGCUGCUGAGAUCCAUGGUGUCCCUAGGCAACGAAGCAAUCAACCUUUGAUCAAGGAGCCAUCAGCCAGCUGCUUGAAAAUGACAGACUGAACCUCCUCUUUUGGAAUAUUACAGCUGUGUUGAAUAUUUAUAAACAUGUAGAACAACUACAGAAUUCAAAUCUAAAUCCCUUAAUACUAAAGUAACACUGUAAUAACAUAUUUUGGAUUCCAAAUGAAAGCUUCACAAAGUCUCAUAAAAGGCAGUUAUCUGAAACAUCUGUAUUGUCCAUAAUAUUGAGCACAACUCUCCCAGGGAUUACUAUGCAGAUGGAGGGGAGUCCUGAGGAGGAGGACGUUAUUACUGAUCCUGUCAUCACUCAGKAAGACCGAUCUACACGGAAAGUCAUCAUCACUCGGAAAUCCAAAAGGAAAGAAAACAGAUUCUGUAAAUAGCCUGAAGUAAACGGUUUAUUCAAGGCAGACACUGGGCUAGUCUGAGAACUCACAGCCACAGACAUGGUCAUCAGACUGGGACGCCUGACCCCUGGAUACUUCCGUCUCCUCCAGAGACAGGUGUCAGGUGAAGUCCAGAUGCAGCCGCAGAACGGGUUAAUCAACCAGAUCGCCAUGACGAUGGCCACGGUGGGCAUCAGUGUGUCCUUCUACAGCGCACGGCAGAUGGCGGAUCGGGUCCGUCUCAAAGAGACAGCUCCCUGAACAGUCUGAGCCCGAACCAGGGUUGGAGAGUAACUGAUUACAUGUAAUUACAUUUUAAUCAGUUACAUGUAAUUACAUUUUAAUCAGUUACAUGUAAUUACAUUUUAAUCAGUUACAUGUAAUCUGACUACAAAUAAACUGUAACGUAAUCAGUUACGAUACCAGCAAAAAUACUGUAAUCAGAUUACAGAUACUUUUGAAAUACUACAUAGAUCAUUACUUCUAGG